AUUCCAGCUCCAAUAGCGUAUAUUAAAGUUGUUGCAGUUAAAACGCUCGUAGUCGGAUUUCAGAGUGAGCUCGUCCGGUCGGCCUAAAUGGUCUGAACUGGUUGACUCUCUCUUGCUUGUGGAUCCCGCCCGGAGUUAACUCUUCGGAUGUGGACUUCACAUCGUUUACCUUGAAAAAAUUAGAGUGUUCAAAGCAGGCGUAUGCUUGAAUAUAUUAGCAUGGAAUAAUGGAAUAGGACCCUGGUUCUAUUUUGUUGGUUUUGAGGACCAGAGUAAUGAUUAAUAGGGAUAGUUGGGGGCAUUCAUAUUUCAUUGUCAGAGGUGAAAUUCUUGGAUUUAUGAAAGAUGAACUUCUGCGAAAGCAUUUGCCAAGGAUGUUUUCAUCG
rnacentral:rRNA from 1 species